rnacentral:lncRNA from 1 species
CCGGGUUCAAUCAUGAUCUAUCUCCUACUUGGAAAAAUUUUCCAAGGCAAAAUGCAAAAGCUACCCCGGUUCAAUUUUGAGAACCCGAGUACCCCGGUUCAAUCAUGAGCUAUCUUACUUGGAAAAAUUUUUCUAAGGCAAACAAACAAAAAGCUACCCCGGUCCAGUUAUGACAUAUCUCUUACUUGGAAAAAUUAUUUUCCAAGGCAAACAAACAAAAAGCUACCCGGGUUCAAUCAUGAUCUAUCUCUUACUUGGAAAAAUUUUCCAAGGCAAAAUGCAAAAGCUACCCCGGUUCAAUUUUGAGAACCCGAGUACCCCGGUUCAAUCAUGAGCUAUCUUACUUGGAAAAAUUUUUCUAAGGCAAACAAACAAAAAGCUACCCGGGUUCAAUCAUGAUCUAUCUCUUACUUGGAAAAAAUUUCCAAGGCAAAAAGCAAAAGCUACCCCGGUUCAAUUUUGAGAACCCGAGUACCCCGGUUCAAUCAUGAGCUAUCUUACUUGGAAAAAAUUUU